rnacentral:rRNA from 1 species
UACGGGGGGUGCGAGCGUUGUCCGGAAUCACUGGGCGGAAAGGGCGCGUAGGUGGUUUGAUAAGGGUGUGGUGAAAGCCCGGGGCUCAACCCCGGGUCUGCCGUGCCGACUGUCAAACUCGAGGGCUGUAGAGGCAGACGGAAUUCCGGGUGUAGCGGUGGAAUGCGUAGAGAUCCGGAGGAAGACCGGUGGCGAAGGCGGUCUGCUGGGCAGUUUCUGACACUGAUGCGCGACAGCGUGGGGAGCAAACAGG